GGGUCAGUAGGUUGGUCGUGCCACCGGUACGUACUGGUCUCACUGAUUCCUCCUUCCUGAAGAACCGGAAUGCCAUUAAUUUGGUGUUGCGGGGAAACAGGACUGUUACUUUGAAAAAAUUAGAGUGUUUAAAGCAAGCUAACGCUUGAAUACAUCAGCAUGGAAUAAUGAAAUAGGACGAUCGAUCCUAUUUUGUUGGUUUCUAGGAUUGACGUA
rnacentral:rRNA from 1 species